rnacentral:rRNA from 1 species
CGGCGCGGUAGAUGAAACUAUGUGUCGGGGCCCAUCCGGGCCUUCGGUGCCGCAGCUAACUGCAUAAGCCAUUCCACCUGAGGGAGUACGUUCGCAAGAAUGAAACUCAAAGGAGUUGACGGGGACCCCCACAAGCGGUGGAGCAUGUGGUUUAAUUCCAAGCAACGCCGAGAACCUUACCAGGUCUUGACAUCUCUUUGACCGGUCCGUAACGGGACCUUUCCUUCGGGACAAAGGUGACAGGCGGUGCAUGGUUGUCGUCACCUCCUGUCGUGAGAUGUUGGGUUAAGUCCCGCAACGAGCGCAACCCUUAUCUUUAGUAGCCAGCACUUUCGGAUGGGCACUCUAGAGAGACUGCCAGGGAUAACCUGGAGGAAGGCGGGGAUGACCUCUAAUCAUCAUGCCCCUUAUGAUCUGGGCUACCCACGUGCUACAAUGGUGACUACAAAAAGACGCCAAGCUGUUAAGUGGAACCAAUCCUCCCCAAAAGGUCAUCUCCCCUUCCGAUUGUAAUCCUGCAACUCCCACUACCUGAAACUUGGGAAAUCCCCAGUAAAUCCCAAAUUCAUAAAUGUUGUGGGGGAAAAACCUUUUCCCCGGGUCCUUUGUGAAACACCCCCCCGUUCCCACCCCUGGGGAAGUUGGAUAUUGCCCCCAAAGUCAAUUGAACCCCCUCCCAUC